GGCUCGGUAGCUCAGUCGGUAGAGCAACGGAUUGAAGCUCCGUGUGUCGGCGGUUCGAUUCCGUCCCGCGCCA
rfam:Lactobacillus vaccinostercus DSM 20634 NODE_168, whole genome shotgun sequence.